rnacentral:rRNA from 1 species
AAGUCGUAACAAGGUUUCGUAGGUGAACCUGCGGAAGGAUCAUUAGAAAAUCCGGUGAAGCCACCUGGCACACAUCGUAUUCAUUCACUCUGAGUAUCUUUCCUGUUGCUUCCGUGGGGUUAGGCGAGUCACGCACUCCGCCUUGUCUUCUUGGUUGGAUUCCACAGGGACGCCCUGCGGAAGGGAAGCACCGCAACCCCUUUGAAUACUAAUUGAUUUUGGUCUGAUCUUGUUUUGAAGAAACAUUAAAACUUUCAGCAACGGAUCUCUUGGUUCUCGCAUCGAUGAAGAACGCAGCGAAAUGCGAAAAGUAGUGUGAAUUGCAGAAUUCAGUGAAUCAUCGAAUCUUUGAACGCACAUUGCGCCUCGCGGUAUUCUGCGAGGCAUGCCUGUUCGAGCGUCAUUAAAAACCCUUCAAGCCUUCAUUGCUUGGUUGUGGUGGAUGAGAACCCCCCCCAAGGUAUCUCACCUCCCAAAUUCAAUGGCUGACUAUAAAAACCGAGCUGCACAGUGGUCGUAGGUGUUCAGCACAGAUCCUCCUCAGUGCCCGGUGAAAGCCGCUGCACAGUGGUCGUAGGUGUUUAGCACAGACCCUCGAGUCAGUGUCCGGUGAAAGUAGCUGCACAGUGGUCGUAGGUGUUCAGCACAGAUCCACCUCAGUGUCCAGUGAAUGUCUUGCCCAUCAAUGUCCAGUAGUAUACUUCAGUUUGACCUCGGAUCACGUAGGGAUACCCGCUGAACUUAA